AUUCUGCCCAUGCGGGGAAGGAUGAGAAGCUUCGACUAAGGUUCGGCUCGAGCGUCAGCGAGAGAGCGUUGCCGCAGGCAACGACCCGAAGGGCGAAGCGCGCAGCGCUGAGUAAUCCUUCCCACCAUCA
rnacentral:sRNA from 1 species